GGCAACGGCACCCUGUUGCUGAGAACUUGAUCAAACUUGGUCAUUUAGAGGAAGUAAAAGUCGUAACAAGGUUUCCGUAGGUGAACCUGCGGAAGGAUCAUUACUGAAUUUAUGACAAGGUUGUAGCUGGCCCUAUCCGGGCAUGUGCACGCCUUGCUCAUUCCAAUUCUACACCUCUGUGCACUUAACAUGGGUUUGGUUGUUGCCUGGUUGCCCGCAUAUGGGGGUGACUGAGCUUUGACCCUGCCUGUGGUUCUCUACAAACACAUCUAUAGUAUCAGAAUGUAAACAGCGUAUUUAUAACGCAUCUUAUACAACUUUCAGCAACGGAUCUCUUGGCUCUCGCAUCGAUGAAGAACGCAGCGAAAUGCGAUAAGUAAUGUGAAUUGCAGAAUUCAGUGAAUCAUCGAAUCUUUGAACGCACCUUGCGCUCCUUGGUAUUCCGAGGAGCAUGCCUGUUUGAGUGUCAUGGUAUUCUCAAUUCUCUAAAUCUUUGCGGAUUUGGAUGGAUUGGAUGUGGAGGUGAUUGCUGGCAUCCAUGCCAAUGGCGUGCCGGCUCCUCUGAAAUACAUUAGCAGGAAUAUUGCUUUGUCAACCUCAGUGUGAUAAUUGUCUACGCUGUUGUUGCAUUGCAAAAACUCUUAUGUUUCUGCUUCUAAUCGUCCUCGGACAAUUUCUUGACAUCUGACCUCAAAUCAGGUAGGACUACCCGCUGAACUUAAGCAUAUCAAUAAGCGGAGGAAAAGAAACUAACAAGGAUUCCCCUAGUAACUGCGAGUGAAGCGGGAAAAGCUCAAAUUUAAAAUCUGGCAGUCUUUGGCUGUCCGAAUUGUAUUCUGGAGAAGCGUUUUCCGCGCUGGACCGUGUACAAGUCUCUUGGAAUAGAGCGUCAUAGAGGGUGAGAAUCCCGUCUUUGACACGGACUACCAGUGCUUUGUGAUGCGCUCUCAAAGAGUCGAGUUGUUUGGGAAUGCAGCUCAAAAUGGGUGGUGAAUUCCAUCUAAAGCUAAAUAUUGGCGAGAGACCGAUAGCGAACAAGUACCGUGAGGGAAAGAUGAAAAGCACUUUGGAAAGAGAGUUAAACAGUACGUGAAAUUGCUGAAAGGGAAACGCUUGAAGUCAGUCGCGUCAUCCAGAACUCAGCCUGGCUUUUGCCUGGUGUACUUUCUGGUUGACGGGCCAGCAUCAGUUUUGACCGCUGGAAAAAGGCCAUGGGAAUGUGGCACCUUCGGGUGUGUUAUAGCCCGUGGUCAUAUACAGCGGUUGGGACUGAGGACCGCAGCACGCCUUUAUGGUUGGGGUUCGCCCACAUUCGUGCUUAGGAUGCUGGCGUAAUGGCUUUAAACGACCCGUCUUGAAACACGGACCAAGGAGUCUAACAUGCCUGCGAGUGUUUGGGUGGAAAACCCGAGCGCACAAUGAAAGUGAAAGUUGGGAUCCCUGUCGUGGGGAGCACCGACGCCCGGACCAGACCUUUUGUGACGGAUCCGCGGUAGAGCAUGUAUGUUGGGACCCGAAAGAUGGUGAACUAUGCCUGAAUAGGGUGAAGCCAGAGGAAACUCUGGUGGAGGCUCGUAGCGAUUCUGACGUGCAAAUCGAUCGUCAAAUUUGGGUAUAGGGGCGAAAGACUAAUCGAACCAUCUAGUAGCUGGUUCCUGCCGAAGUUUCCCUCAGGAUAGCAGAAACUCAUGUCAGAUUUAUGUGGUAAAGCGAAUGAUUAGAGGCCUUGGGGUUGAAACAACCUUAACCUAUUCUCAAACUUUAAAUAUGUAAGAACGAGCCGUCUCUUAA
rnacentral:rRNA from 1 species